UCAAAAAAACCCUCCAAUUUCUCCCGACCAAACCCGCACUCCUCGUCAUCCUCCUCCGACAGAAUCCCCAGCUGCGCUGCUCCCCGCCGCCGUCGCUUCCCCGCUCCCCCGCCGCAGCAGCCCUGCUCCCCGCCGCGGCGGCCCUCGCCGCAGCUGCCCUGCUCCCCCGCUCCCUCGCCGCAGCUGCCUCCUGCUCCGCCGCCGCAGCUGCCGCUCGCUGCCUCCCCAAGCUCCCCCCUUCCUCAUAAAAAUCUUCGAUUUCCGCCGCGCUGAUGGGCCCGACGACGAGGCGUCGCGGCUGGCGUUGUAGGCGUCGGGCGCGGCGGACCCAGGCGCUGCGGCGGGGCGGCUUCGGCCUGGAGUGCGGGCGCUACUGCAACGGCGAACCGGAGGAGAGGCUCCGGCAGUGGAGCCAGGCAUGGCUUGACGUCGCCAAGAAAAUCUCACCGCCUUCCCUUUCUUAUUUCACACGCGCCAUAACACUGGCGACGGAGCUUUGACCUCGCCUCGUCGGAGGAUAGUCCCCUCACCGUCCUUCCUCUCCUAAAAGCGCCCUAAUCCCGGGCGGAGAGUACCUCAGCCGGUGCCCGGCGCGCCUCUCCAUUUCCUUCUCUUGUUCGCUCCGUGCCGGCUGCGGGCGAGACCUCACAGCGAUGUCGUCGGCGGCGGGGACACCAUCGGACGGCGGAGGGGAUAGGCCGUGGCAGUCAUACCACACCGCCUACACCAACGCCAAAGCUGGAAUGGAGGGAGUUGACAAAGAGAAGGUGCAGAAGGUGAUCUAUGAAAUGAGCAAGGGUUUCGAAAAUGAGCAGAAGGAGGCGAUUACCAAACUUAAAAUCGAGCAUCUGCACACACAGUGUGCAAAGUUAACUGAUAAUGACAUAUCACAUUUUCAGAAGCAUCUCCAAGUCCUACAGCCUGGGUCAUCUCUGUCACCAACACAUACAACCUGGGUAGCAGUAUUCUGAUGGACUACCUUCUUCAGAGUGCAGACGAGCACAACACGGCUUCACUUGGGUCAGCAACAGCAGCAUAGGCAGAGGAAGAUCAGGUUCGACGCAGAGGAACCCACGAGCAGAAGAUCAGGUGCGAUGCACAGGUUCAAUUCAACCCAGCUGUGCGCUUGGGUUCAGGUUCAGGUUCUCCCACAGUGCAGAAGAUCAGCAGCAGCACCACGACAGAGGAGCAAUAGCAGCAGCACGCAUAGCUCCACCUGUGACAGGGGAGAAGCAGCUGCGCGGGCGCGCGGGCGCGCGGGCAAGCGAGAAGGAGCAGCACGGCGACACGCGGGAGCUCGAGGAGGACUCACGGGAGAUAGAGGAGGACGAGCGUGAGCUCCUGGUCCAUCGAAUCGUGGAGGCUGGUUCCAACGACGGUCGUAGGGGAUCGUAGCUGGAAGGAUCGCGGCGGCGCACGCGUGGGAGCUCAAGAAGGAGACGCGGGAGCUCGAGGAGGAUGCACGGGAUCUCGAGGAGGACGAGCAGGAGCUCCUGGUCCACCGGAUGGUGCUGGGAAGUUCUGGCGACGCCGCAGGUAAUCGCAGCGGGAGGAGAUCGCGGCGGCACAGGAUUGGGCGACGACGGCGGUACUUGGCGACGGCGGCGGCAGCAGAUCACUUCCUGGUGGGCGACGAAUCGCGCAGCUGGGCGGCCCCGGCCCUUGGCGACACGCGCACGACGGCGGAGGAAGAAGACGAUGGCGGAGGGACUUGUUUGAGAUGGUUUUGAAACUGUGAGGUCUUUUUUGCAAAAGUACCAGUGAACUAGGCGUGCGACAUGUUUUUCGGGACGGAGGGAGUACACAAACACGUAGCAGGCCAGCACGGUCAUUAUCUUGGCAGAGGACCGGGACAGGAGGAGCAGCGUGAAUCAUGCUUGUGCUAGUAACACGCGGGUAGUGCUAUCCGGCCACUCGAUCGCUAUCUAGGUAACGGUGGCCACACAUUUCUACUGCUUACGUGCUAAUUUGAUUGCCAUCCUUAAGCAAGCGUUAACUAUAUCUGAUGGGGCCGUAUCUAAUGAUGGCCACGAAGUACAGUCUCUGGAACCAUCCCUACGGCAGGAUUAUGUACGGUGGGACUGGAUGUAAUGGUAACCACAAAUCAUGCCAUGCAUUAGGAAUUAAGUAUUUUUUUUCUCUUAGGAAGGAAGGAACGUGCAUGUUGUAGUAUUUGAUUUGGCCAUGCCAUCGAUGCGAGCAAGGUAGGAGGGCUAGCUGUGCAUACGCACAGUUUGAACGUUCAGGCUGAUGCUGAUGUCACAUGUCAUCGUUUGAUGUCGAAAUAAACUAUAGAAAGUUGUGCAUCUCAUGGCAAUUCAGAAAUUUUAAUGGUUUAACUAAACAAAGAUAAAUUGGCAUGUCCAUGGAAAAUGGAGUGCCCUUUUGUUCAUUUAUAUUUAUACGUUAUGUGCACUAGAAGCUUAGGGCACGCUUCGUGGCGCCGUGAAGGCUUUUAGGGCCUCGCAACUCGCUUUUCGCUGUUUAUUUUUGUCAUUGUGGUUAUCUCGCUGGAAUAUGUUCUCAUGAUGGCCUACUAACAAUUAUAAUUAAGUUUGUUGGUGUUGGCGCAGUAUGCCAAAGUCAAUAAAUGUAUAUUUUUGCGAGGUUAAUGUGAUUAUAACAGUGAAAUUUAAUGUAAUUUAUGUUUCACAUAUGAAGGUUUCUCGUGUAUUUGAUAUUCUAUACAAUCAUUUUUAGGAAUCA